rnacentral:rRNA from 1 species
CAGCCGAGCGGUAAGAUUCUUCGGAAUCUUGAGAGCGGCGUACGGGUGCGGAACACGUGUGCAACCUACCUUUAUCAGGGGGAUAGCCUUUCGAAAGGAAGAUUAAUACCCCAUAAUAUAUUGAAUGGCAUCAUUUAAUAUUGAAAACUCCGGUGGAUAGAGAUGGGCACGCGCAAGAUUAGAUAGUUGGUAGGGUAACGGCCUACCAAGUCAAUGAUCUUUAGGGGGCCUGAGAGGGUGAUCCCCCACACUGGUACUGAGACACGGACCAGACUCCUACGGGAGGCAGCAGUGAGGAAUAUUGGACAAUGGGUGAGAGCCUGAUCCAGCCAUCCCGCGUGAAGGACGACGGCCCUAUGGGUUGUAAACUUCUUUUGUAUAGGGAUAAACCUACUCUCGUGAGAGUAGCUGAAGGUACUAUACGAAUAAGCACCGGCUAACUCCGUGCCAGCAGCCGCGGUAAUACGGAGGGUGCAAGCGUUAUCCGGAUUUAUUGGGUUUAAAGGGUCCGUAGGCGGAUCUGUAAGUCAGUGGUGAAAUCUCAUAGCUUAACUAUGAAACUGCCAUUGAUACUGCAGGUCUUGNAGUAAAGUAGAAGUGGCUGGAAUAAGUAGUGUAGCGGUGAAAUGCAUAGAUAUUACUUAGAACACCAAUUGCGAAGGCAGGUCACUAUGUUUUAACUGACGCUGAUGGACGAAAGCGUGGGGAGCGAACAGGAUUAGAUACCCUGGUAGUCCACGCCGUAAACGAUGCUAACUCGUUUUUGGGUUUUCGGAUUCAGAGACUAAGCGAAAGUGAUAAGUUAGCCACCUGGGGAGUACGUUCGCAAGAAUGAAACUCAAAGGAAUUGACGGGGGCCCGCACAAGCGGUGGAUUAUGUGGUUUAAUUCGAUGAUACGCGAGGAACCUUACCAAGGCUUAAAUGGGAAUUGACAGGUUUAGAAAUAGACUUUUCUUCGGACAAUUUUCAAGGUGCUGCAUGGUUGUCGUCAGCUCGUGCCGUGAGGUGUUAGGUUAAGUCCUGCAACGAGCGCAACCCCUGUCACUAGUUGCCAUCAUUCAGUUGGGGACUCUAGUGAGACUGCCUACGCAAGUAGAGAGGAAGGUGGGGAUGACGUCAAAUCAUCACGGCCCUUACGCCUUGGGCCACACACGUAAUACAAUGGCCAGUAUGGGGGGAGUGUACAAGGCGAGUGGAUGAGAAUCUCGAAAGAUGG